AGGACGAACGCUGGCGGCGUGCUUAACACAUGCAAGUCGAGCGGAAAGGCCCUUCGGGGUACUCGAGCGGCGAACGGGUGAGUAACACGUGAGUAAUCUGCCCCUAGCUCUGGGAUAGCUCCGGGAAACCGGGAUUAAUACCAGAUACGACCACUUUAGACAUCUGCUGUGGUGGAAAGAAUUUCGGCUAGGGAUGAGCUCGCGGCCUAUCAGCUUGUUGGUGAGGUAACGGCUCACCAAGGCGACGACGGGUAGCCGGCCUGAGAGGGCGACCGGCCACACUGGGACUGAGACACGGCCCAGACUCCUACGGGAGGCAGCAGUGGGGAAUAUUGCGCAAUGGGCGGAAGCCUGACGCAGCGACGCCGCGUGGGGGAUGAAGGCCUUCGGGUUGUAAACCCUUUCACCAGGAGCGAAUCAAGACGGUACCUGGGAAGAAGCGCCGGCUAACUACGUGCCAGCAGCCGC
rnacentral:rRNA from 1 species